UCUCAGUAUGUGUUUGCAAGUCUCAUUAAUGAUAAUGGAAGUUAUGUGCCUGCAGGAGAAUGAAAGGAGAAGGCAUCUAUCAUGUCAAUGACCCAUGAAGUAAGAAGAAAUUAUAUAGUCUACCAUAAAGACACUGAAGGAGUCAUUAUAGCCUAUUAGAAAAAGUGACAUUCAGUACCCUACCUAGGAGCUGUAACAGCAACAGAGGCAUUGUC
rnacentral:lncRNA from 1 species